CCUAGGUCUAGCCUAUAUACAGAACUCUGGCUAGGUUCUAGAACCCCUGUUCCCCAGGUCUAGCCUAUAUACAGAACUCUGGCUAGGUUCUAGAACCCCUGUUCCCCAGGUCCAGCCUAUAUACACAACUCUGGCUAGAUUGUAGAACCCCCUGUUCCCCAGGUCCAGCCUAUAUACACAACUCUGGCUAGAUUGUAGAACCCCCUGUUCCCCAGGUCCAGCCUCUAUACAGAACUCUGGCUAGGUUCUAGAACCCCUGUUCCCCAGGUCCAGCCUAUAUACAGAACUCUGGCUAGAUUGUAGAACUCUGUCUGACACAAUUGGGUGCACAUAGUUUGUCUUGUUAGUUUCCACUGAAUGGUCAGCUGCCUCCCCCGGCUCAACUCAUGUCUCACCACCUACAGUACUCGCUCACCCUCUCAGGGGGGCGGUGACCUGGCUCGACUCUGGCUGUCAGGAAGCUGCUGGGUCAGGGCUGAGAGGGGAUGGACAGGUGUGAUUAGGAAAAGAUGAAAGUGGACAGAAGGAGAGCAUUAGGACUAAAGGCGUCAGCAUGGUUCGGCUGGCGCCUCGACAAACUUGGCUAGCUGAACAGAACCAGUGUGCUUGCAUACGCUCUUAAGUCCUUCACUUAGAAAAAGUGGCAAUAGUAGUGUUUGUCCAUUAAGAACUCAAGAUAUGUCAUUAAUGUUUUAAGUUUUUGCGGCGGAUGUCUAAGUGGUAAAUAUAACUAGGCUGUUUGCUGAAGUAUUUCUCGACGGGGGGGGGGGGACGACGACAAGUCGUCUCUCGUUGAAUGACAACACUUUGUUGACGAAUCCCUACUGUUGACCAAUCACCGAUGACGAGGUGUAGACUUUGGCUCUGAACUUCGGCUUGCCUCCAGAAAAAAAUGUGCCAGAACAGCCAAACUCUCACCGAAGUCCAAAAUGUUGUCAGAAUAUAUGGCCUGGGAAGCAUGUGUAAGCCUUAAGCCUUAAGCCAGGACAUGGUGGACAGGGGAGCUGGCAGCCUUGUUCAGCCCUUCUUCUCUCUUCCUCCUACAGCCUAGCUCAUAAAACCCUAAAUUCCAUCUCCCUGAUGCAGAUUUUCCACGCCACAACGACCUCACGGCACAGUACAACACUGUGCCAUGACCCUAAACCCUCUGGCUUUACAGACCCACAAGUUGAUUUUCCAAAACAAAGGAUUUGUAGUCAAU